UACGUAGGGUGCGAGCGUUAAUCGGAAUUACUGGGCGUAAAGCGUGCGCAGGCGGCGCGUUAAGACAGGUGUGAAAGCCCCGAGCUUAACUUGGGAAUUGCGCUUGUGACUGGCGUGCUGGAGUGUGGCAGAGGGAGGUGGAAUUCCACGUGUAGCAGUGAAAUGCGUAGAUAUCAAGAGGAACACCUGAGGUGAAGACGGGUUGCUGGGCCAACACUGACGCUGAGGCGCGAAAGCCAGGGGAGCAAACGGG
rnacentral:rRNA from 1 species